rnacentral:rRNA from 1 species
UACGGGGGGGGCAAGCGUUGUUCGGAAUUACUGGGCGUAAAGGGUUCGUAGGUGGCCGACUAAGUCAGACGUGAAAUCCCUCAGCUCAACUGGGGAACUGCGUCUGAGACUGGCCGGCUUGAGUGCAGGAGAGGAACGCGGAAUUCCAGGUGUAGCGGUGAAAUGCGUAGAUAUCUGGAGGAACACCGGUGGCGAAGGCGGCGUUCUGGACUGCAACUGACACUGAGGAACGAAAGCCAGGGGAGCAAACGGG